rnacentral:rRNA from 1 species
UGGGGAAUAUUGCGCAAUGGGCGGAAGCCUGACGCAGCGACGCCGCGUGGGGGAUGAAGGCCUUCGGGUUGUAAACCUCUUUCAGCGGGGACGAAGCCGGGGGCCGCUUUGGUGGUCUCGGGUGACGGUACCCGCAGAAGAAGCGCCGGCUAACUACGUGCCAGCAGCCGCGGUAAUACGUAGGGCGCAAGCGUUGUCCGGAAUUAUUGGGCGUAAAGAGCUCGUAGGUGGUUUGUCGCGUCUGUCGUGAAAGCCCAUGGCUUAACUGUGGGUCGGCGGUGGAUACGGGCAGGCUAGAGGCAGGUAGGGGAGAACGGAAUUCCCGGUGUAGCGGUGAAAUGCGCAGAUAUCGGGAGGAACACCGGUGGCGAAGGCGGUUCUCUGGGCCUGUACUGACGCUGAGGAGCGAAAGCGUGGGGAGCGAACAGG